GGUUCUGUGGCGCAAUGGAUGGCGAGUUGGACUUCUAGGCCCAGCAUUAGAGCAAUUCAAAGCUUGUGGGGUUGAGUCCCACCAGAGUCA